GUUCAUGUGGGAGGAUAAGCUAGCAAAUCAUGCGAAGGGAGCCUAAAAUAACUGCAUGUUCUUCUGCACUGCCCACAUCACCUGAUAUUUCUGUUUUAAGUUGGUCACAAGCAAUUGGCAGAAACAGUAAGUCAGCAUGAAGCCUGAAGCAGCUAAGCAAAAUACAGCAUUUCGAAAUUAACGCGCCGAAUGGGAGAUAAACUACAGCUGUAGGCAGACUGGACAGUGGAACCACAAUUACUUGUCGAGUUUCUAUAAUGGAAAUUACUUUGUCACCUCCAGUUUAAGGUUAUGCUGUCUGUCGAUCUGUUACUUCAACCAGACGAAGGUCAGUGCUCCAGGAAGUGCUGCACUUUUCGGGAGAGAGCAUGCCAAGUGUUUGGUUAGUGCUCCGACCAAUAUUUCUCCCCGAACGAAUGUCAUCCAAAAAGGACUGCUGGGUCAUUCUGAUGCCGAUGCUGUAACAGCUGAAGGUCAAUGAUGCCAAUCUAUGUGCUAGAAGUCUGGGUUAUAAUCCUGGUAAUCCUAGCGACUAUCCUCGUAAUGAGUUUGCUGAUCAUACU